rnacentral:lncRNA from 1 species
AAGGAGGAGAAACAUCUGAAAAUUACCUCAAGUAUCGUCGGGUAGAAGGAAGAGAACAUAUCGGCCACCAUCCGAUUCUUCUUGUUUUCCUUAUCAAUCGAGAGAAGAGCAAUUUCGAUGAGUCAUUUGACCAAUGUCGGGUUGGCUAAGGCUGACUCACCCUAAAAAAUCCUGAUGUCAAGGAGUGUGGGAAGGCCUGCAGAUGAUCCAUCAUCAGC